rnacentral:rRNA from 1 species
GACGAACGCUGGCGGCGUGCUUAACACAUGCAAGUCGAACGGAAAGGCCCCUUCGGGGGUACUCGAGUGGCGCACAGGUGAGUAACACGUGAGUAACCUGCCCUUGACUUCGGGAUAACUUCAGUAAACUGGGGCUAAUACCGGAUAGGAAUCCUUGCUGCAUGGUGGGGGUUGGAAAGCUUAGGCGGUUUUGGAUGGACUCGCGGCUUAUCAGCUUGUUGGUGGGGUAGUGGCUUACCAAGGCUUUGACGGGUAGCCGGCCUGGGAGGGCGACCGGCCACAGUGGGACUGAGACACGGACCAGGCCCCGACGGGAGGGAGAAGUGGGGGAGAUUGAAAAAGGGGAGGAAGCCUGAGGCAGCAACGCCGAGGGCGGGAGGACGGCGUUCGGGUUGUAAUCCGAAUUCAGCAGGAGCGAAGCUUGUAGUGACGGUACCUGCAGAAGAAGCACCGGCUAACUACGUG